GCUGGGCAUGGUGGCACAUGCCAGUAAUCCCAGAAGCUCAGGAGGCUGAGACAGGAGGGUCGCAAGUUCAAAGCCAGCCUCAGCAACAGAGAUGUGCUAAGCAACUCAGUGAGACCCUGUCUCUA
rnacentral:sRNA from 1 species